CUGGUACGAAAGCUGGCAAUUGUAUCCUGGGAUUUAUAGCGCUUUCCCCUGUUUGUUUCCUGGGAUGUGCUGACUCUCAGCUGCCUAAUAACCAAGCUCCUGUUACUGUAAAGAUCACGUACAAUAGACGUCACUGUGUUUGUCAGUAAAGUGGAAACAUUAUAGGAAUAUCUGAUAAAUUCAUUUGUGCUGAACAAGACAAUGUCUGACAAGAACCAAACCUCAGACCUUCCUGAUGCACACAGAGGGCGUCUAGAGGAAAGGAGAGUCUGCCGGGGCUGUGCACACAGUUACUUACUGCUCGCCCUCCCUGCCGGUGAGUAGUAAUACGCGAGAGUCUGCC